GUCCAUUCCAACAAUUUGUCCCAAACCUUUUCUGAUAUAAACUUUUUUCUUCUCUCUCUAUUCGUUCUCCAUAGCACUGAAUCCUCAUUCCCACCCCAUUUGAAUUUUCAUCAAACCCUAAUUUCCCAUCUCUCAACUUCCUAUCCGUCUUCAGUUCUUCUACAUUCAACCUAGAACCGACACAUUCCUUGGGUUGGGGUUGCUGGCGUGGCUAAGUUAGUUUAAUUUCAUUGUGUGCAUUUACGGCGUUUAGCAUUUCACGAUUUCAACCGCUUCCUUGACGUUGUUGAAAACGAUUCCUUGAAACAUGACCAUCUACAUCGGAUCUGUGAGCUGAAGGUGUAAAGAUCCAGUUUUUUUGGCGUGAACAUGGUGUGAAGACGAUUGGAACCAUGACUGAAUUUGUCUGAAAGUAUUUGAUAGUGAAUGCUAGCUGUUUGAUUAAAUGACUGAAAGAAUUUGAUUGUGAGAAUUUGUACUCAUAAUAUCAAAUAAGCUCAUAAAUUAUUUCAUUCAUGCUAUUCUUUUGUUGAUGUUGCAGCUGACUAGAGACCAUGGAUAAAGCAAAAGAUGCAAUGGCAGGAAUCAUGGACAUGAUGAAGGUUAAAUUCAGAUUUCUUUUAUACUUUGUCUCUUAAAAUUCAAUUUUGAUUCCAGUUUUUUUCACUAUAUAGUUGCUACAAAUUUUAGUACAUAUGUCUAUUGAUUCCAGUUUUUCAAGUACCAUGUCCAAGUGAGUUAGGUAUGUGCAAACAAAGAUCAUGGAGUCUAUUUGAUGUGAGGUUCAUGGAAAGAGGAUCAGCAUUCAUCCUUUAUUGAUUUUAUCUCCACUUUCCUCUCUGCAAAUUCCUUUCGCCUUAAUUUUGUUCCAAUUGCUUCUGUAAUUAGACAGCAAUAUAUUAUUAUCUCAGACUAUUUUGAAUUUAUCUCAGAUUAUUAUGGGCUACAAGGUUCUAAGUUGAUCCGAUG